UGAAGAUGAAUCCUGACUGCCUGGACAUGCCUGGGCGGGUGUACCCAUGGCCUGUGGUUGAACCAGCCACACCUUGUCUCUUGGCCAGAGAGGCUGCCCUGAGGCUGAGGACUGUGAGUCCUGGGAUCUGCUGGGGAAGUCCAAGGCAUAUCGCACCAGCUGCCCCUAGCUGCUGCCUGCAGCUGGAGGCCACAGGCCCCCCAUGUUGAAGAAGUGUCACCUUCAAAGGG
rnacentral:lncRNA from 1 species